AAAGCCAGCAGGAUAGCACGUUGAAUACACCACUUCCCAUUGAUCACUUAAGUUGGAUAACGUUGCGCGUGGUUGGUAUCUGGACGGGUGGCCAUCUGGACAAUGCUGCUGGCUUUU
rnacentral:rRNA from 1 species